rnacentral:ncRNA from 1 species
ACAGCUGGUGCCGCAGGAGACUGCGGAGAAUAGGGAAACAGGUGGAAGACCUGUGCGAUCUCGUCACUGUAAGCAGAAGCACACUGCCAGUUAAGCCACUGAGUAAUCGGGAAGGCGGCGGUGGGCGUUGGACUGUAAGCCAGGAGACCUGCCAGCUGUG